rnacentral:rRNA from 1 species
CCUACGGGGGGCAGCAGUGGGGGAUAUUGCACAAUGGGGGAAACCCUGAUGCAGCGACGCCGCGUGGGUGAAGAAGCGCCUCGGCGCGUAAAGCCCUGUCAGCAGGGAAGAAAAUGACGGUACCUGAAGAAGAAGCCCCCGCUAACUACGUGCCAGCAGCCGCGGUAAUACGUAGGGGGCAAGCGUUAUCCGGAUUUACGGGGUGUAAAGGGGGCGCAGACGGCGAUGCAAGCCAGGAGUGAAAGCCCGGGGCCCAACCCCGGGACUGCUCUUGAAACUGCGUGGCUAGAGUGCAGGAGGGGCAGGCGGAAUUCCUGGUGUAGCGGUGAAAUGCGUAGAUAUCAGGAGGAACACCGGUGGCGAAGGCGGCCUGCUGGACUGCAACUGACGUUGAGGCCCGAAAGCGUGGGGAGCAAACAGGAUUAGAUACCCCUGUAGUC